AGCAUGUUCCCUGGGGGCUCAAGUCAGCUUUGCCACUCAGCAGGCACUUUGCUUGUGGGUGCUCAGCCCUUCUACAUACCAGCCCAGCUCAUUUCCUGUUCAACAUGAAGUACACAGCUUGGCUUGUGAUUAAUUAGUGUAUUCUCCAGUUUUUAUCAGGCCAAAGAAAAAUUUAAAAAAGAACUGAAGAUUGAAGGAUUUCUGUACAGUGACUUAACUGUACUAGCUUCUGAUAUACCAUAUUUCCCACCAGAGGAAGAGGAAGAAAAUUUGGAAGAUGGAAUUCACCUGGUUGUCUGUGUCCAUGGCCUGGAUGGGAACAGUGCAGACCUCCGGCUGGUAAAGACUUUCAUAGAACUGGGGCUCCCUGGAGGAAAACUGGACUUCCUAAUGUCUGAAAAGAAUCAGGCUGGAGUGCAAUGGUGCGAUCUCAGCUCACUGCGACCUCCACCUCCUGGGUUCAGGCGAUUCUCCUGCCUCAGCCUCCUGAACUACAGAUGGACACAUUUGCAGAUUUUGAUACUAUGACGGAUCGGUUAUUGGAUGAAAUCAUUCAACACAUUCAGUUGUACAACCUCUCCAUAU
rnacentral:lncRNA from 10 species